GCCUGUACUAGUGACUUUAAAAGACAGUUGGGAACACCAUAUAGAUUUGAUUGAAUUUUCGUGCAACAAUAGUUAUCAUGCGAGCAUUAAGAUGUCACAUUUUGAAGCAUUUUAUGGAAAGAAGUGCAAAAGCCCCACUUGCGGGAAUAAUUUUCGUAAAAAUAUUGUAUUGGGGACAGACUUCGUUGAAGGUGAAAUAUCCAAAGUUAUUCCCUGAGAUGAGUUACGAGGGCGUAACUCGUUUUCUUUAAGGGGGGUAGAAUGCGAUAGAAAUUCGCGCUUUUUUUUACCUAUUUUUAUGGUAUUUUAUGCAUUUUAUGCUCAUUUUUAGCAACUUAUACAUGUUGAUGUAAAGGAAAUAGAUUCUCCGCAUAAGAAAAUGUGUUCUUGAAUAUUACAAGUAACUCUUAGUUGGCAAAAGAGUGCACAAGAGUGGCACAAAGUACUUCUACAAUAAGAAUAAGUUGAAAAGUUUGGAAAAAUAUGUGAAUUUUCGUGUCAAGUUUCGGGACGAAACUUCUUUUAAGAGGGGUAGAUUGUAAUCCCCCGUAAUUUUAUAUAUUUCAUUUAUAUAUUUUAACGUAUAUUUAAUAUAUUUAAAUAAGAAUUUAUGAAUUUUGGAAAUAAAUAUAUAGUUAACGUAUAUUUAUUUAUUACAUUUUAAUAUUUUCAACGAUUUACGAAAUCGAAAAUGAUUUUAGAAUUUUAAGUUGAAAAGAAUUUGAAUUACGAAAAUUGAUUGAAUUUAGAAAACGAUCCUAUUCAGUUUUGGACUCGAAUCAUUAAAGCUAAAUCCUAAGUCUAGCCCACUUGAAAAGCCCAACAUUAAAACCCAAACUCAAACCCUCCCCUUCUUUCUUCUAAUUCACGUGAAAGCUAGGAAGAGAAAAACAAAACCCUCCUUCACUAUUCACGUAAGUUUUCAAACCCUCAAGAACUCAUCCUCUCUCUCUCCUCGUCGCUGCUCUCCUCCUUCACGCCGUUGCUCCAGCCGCCGGUCUCCUCGCCGUCGCCACCAAGGCCGCCGGACCGCGUCGCUGUCCUCGCCGCACCACCCGCGACAGCAACCACCGCUGCCGCCACGUCAACAACCCAGC